rnacentral:lncRNA from 1 species
CUGUUUUUUUAAUCUUUACAAAUGGCACAUUUUCAAGUUUACAAAUCAUACCUUAGCAGGUUAUAGAUCAAGUUAAAAGCUUAUGAAAGGGAAAUUAUUUCCAUUCACAUCAUAAAACACACCAUGCAAAAAGAUGCCAACAUCAAAUUUAUAAUUCUAGUGAUGGAUAAAGAGAAAAUAACAACUCCACAACCAAGUAGGAAGUAAAUAUGUUUUUAGUAACAACUCAAGUUUGAUUAACUGACUGAAUAAAAUAAAAAAGCCACAACAUUAUAAGUUCUUUAAUAACUAAAAUCAUCCUGGCAACAUUUUGCAGCUCCGAAGGACUCUAAACUUUUCAGCGAUACUGCAAGACAAAAAAAAAAAAAAGGGGGGCAAAGUGAUGAGAACUCAUGCUAAAACAAGCAGAUAUUUAGAAAUCUACUCUAACAAAUAGAAAGGUACAUAGAAGUAUUGACCUUAAUGAAGCCAAUUUCCUUGGCAUUGCUGUGGAAGCACUGUCUGCAACACAUGAGUCCGUACUUCCUGAUCAAUCCAUGAGAGUUUCCACACACACGGCUGCAAAACAGGGUACAACAGUAAACAUUUAUAAUCAACCAAUAUGAAGUAUGUACAAGUAACUAAGAAAGAAGUGUUGAAAUGUAGCAAUAACUAAACCAUACUCAUCUUAAGACAAUAGUUAUAAGAUAACAUAAUAUUGAAAUUUACAACAAAAAUUGCUUAUGAGGGAGAUUUUAAUUUGACAAUUAAGUCAAGUGAAAAGAAGUUCAGCAGAAGUAAAUAUUAUGCAGGUGGUAAUAGAAAGACCAAUUCCACAAAAAUAAAAUAUUCAGAAAUUUCUUUCAGCUAGGUAAAGAACCAAAUCAACAAAAAAUUCCACUGAAAUAUUCUCACCCAGCUGAAUUGAAUACUAAUUUUAUGUUGAAAUUAAGACAAUGAAAAGAAGCUGAAUAGAACAAAAUAUUCCACAAAACAACAAGCACAUGGAAAAAUUCAUGCAUUCAUUUCAAGACUUGAGUUGGAUCUUCAUCUUUAAUUCAUAAAAUUCGAACCAAAUCAUGAUGAAUCACAUCACAGUAAUAUACGGAAAUCCACACAAAUUUUCAAGAGAGGUUACACACAAACAAACACAGUAAAAUAUAUAGAAAUACGGAUCGAAGAUUCAAAUGAAAAAAGAGAUAGAUAUCAUACCAUGUACGAGAACCAGGACCAUAGGUCUUGGGGUGAGAGUUCCAGACAUUGGAGUGACCCAUGAUUUCUUACUCGGCGGCAGGCAGCGAUCUCAAAAACCCUAACUAGCAGUC